rnacentral:sRNA from 1 species
ACAUACUUCAAGGUAUUACCGGUAAAUC